AUUGAACGCUGGCGGCAGGCCUAACACAUGCAAGUCGAGCGAGCGGCGGACGGGUGAGUAAUGUCUGGGAAACUGCCUGCUGGAGGGGGAUAACUACUGGAAACGGUAGCUACUACCGCAUACCAUCAGAUGUGCCCAGAUGGGAUUAGCUAGUAGGUGGGGUAACGGCUCACCUAGGCGACGAUCCCUAGCUGGUCUGAGAGGAUGACCAGCCACCCUGGACCUGAGCCACGGUCCAGACUCCGACGGGAGGCAUCAGUGGGGAAUAUUGCACACUGGGCGCAAGCCUGAUGCAGCCAUGCCGAGUGGGUGAAGAAGGCCUUCGGGUUGUAAAGCACUUUCAGCGGGGAGGCGUUACCCGCAGAAGAAGCACCGGCUAACUCCGUGCCAGCAGCCGCGGUAAUAC
rnacentral:rRNA from 1 species